GGGAAUUUUGGACAAUGGGGGCAACCCUGAUCCAGCCAUUCCGCGUGAGUGAAGAAGGCCUUCGGGUUGUAAAGCUCUUUUGUUCGGGACGAAACGGUUACGGUUAAUAACCUUGACUAAUGACGGUACCGGAAGAAUAAGCACCGGCUAACUACGUGCCAGCAGCCGCGGUAAUACGUAGGGUGCGAGCGUUAAUCGGAAUUACUGGGCGUAAAGCGUGCGCAGGCGGUUUUAUAAGCCAGAUGUGAAAUCCCCGGGCUCAACCUGGGAAUGGCAUUUGGACUGUAAGACUAGAGUAUGGCAGAGGAGACUAGAAUUCCUGGUGUAGCAGUGAAAUGCGUAGAUAUCAGGAGGAAUACCGAUGGCGAAGGCAAUCCCCUGGACCUGUACUGACGCUCAUGCACGAAAGCGUGGGGAGCAAACAGG
rnacentral:rRNA from 1 species